UUGAACUAAGAAUAUAAGGGUUGAGCUUUAUAUUCAAUAAUUGAUAAAAGAUGAAUGAAUAAAUAAUUAUUUAUAAAAUUAGGCUUUUUAGUGGCCAUAUUUAUAAAGUGUUUUAACUAAUAAAAUAUAUUUUUUUUUAUUUUUAUUUUCUCUUAAAAAAUUAUUAGGAUAUAUUUAUAUUAAAAAUAGAUUAGUAAUAAUGAAAAUAUUAGUAGAAAAGAAAAUAUUAAAAUUUUUAAAUAAUUAAUUUAGAAAAAUAUUUUUUAAUAAAAUAUAAAGAAAAAUUAAAGGAAUUCGGCAAAUUUUUUUUUCUUGCCUGUUUAACAAAAACAUGUCUGUAUGAAGUUAUAUAAAGUCUGACCUGCCCGUUGAAGAAAUUUGAAAGGCCGCGGUAUAUUAACUGUGCAAAGGUAGCAUAAUCAUUAGUUUUUUAAUUGAAGGCUUGUAUGAAUGGUCUGACAAAGGAAAAGCUGUCUUUAUUUUUAAUUUUGAAUUUAACUUUUAAGUGAAAAGGCUUAAAUAAUUUUAAGGGACGAUAAGACCCUAUAAAUCUUUAUAUUAGAAUAUUAUCUUGAAAUUUAAUAGUUAGUUUGAAUUUAACAAGAAAAUAAUAAAUAUUUUGUUGGGGUGAUGAGAAUAUAAAAAUAACUGUUCUUAAAAAAAACAAAGUUGUUUGAAAAUAAUUUAUAGAUCCUUUUUUGAAGAUUAAAAGUUUAAGUUACUUUAGGGAUAACAGCGUUAUUUUUUUUGAGAGUUCUUAUCGAAAAAAAAGUUUGCGACCUCGAUGUUGAAUUAAAAUUUCUUUACGGUGUAGAAGUUGUAAAAGAGAGUCUGUUCGACUUUUGAAAUUUU
rnacentral:rRNA from 1 species